ensembl:lncRNA
GUAUAGCAGCGCAGCUCAAUUACACCAGUGCAUGCGCGGACAGUUGAAAAUCGAUCGUUCACAUCCAGCUGCUCACAGAACAAGUUUAGCGCACCACCGCUACCCUCACACUUUUUCAUAUAACCUUUUUUCAGCACUAGGUCAUAUGAGCAUUAAAUAAAUGCUGCGUCUCAAAAUGCCUUGGACAGCAGCGAGGAUGACUCGCUUUGCCACGGGCCGAAACAGUUCGGAGCGACCCCUGCCAGAGCGAACACAGCGGGGCAGAGGAGUGUCAGGAAUAGUCUUUGGUGUACACAUCAGUACGGCCUAUUUGCACUACUGUUUAGUGGCAAUGCAGUGUUUUAUUCGAUGCCUUUUUAUUUUCGUAUAUUAUUUCAAUGAAUACAAUUUAUUUAUUCAUAAAAAACGGAUCUGGUCUUCAAAUCUUUUUUCCAAAUAUAGGUCGUCUUACAAUGGGGUUUGUGUUUAUAUUCGGACCAAUACGGUACAGCGGGCCCUCACAUGACGUUAAGCAUUUCCUGGUGCAUAAUGUGACGCUUCAGAACCUAAAAUCCCGUUUCUCCCAGUUGACACGACAACACAUAACCGGCGUUUUCAGAAAUCUCCACUUUGGCCGGAGUUUUUAGAAAUGAUCGUUUUCUGUGAUAAGACAGGGCCUCGGACAGGGGGUGUUGCAGCACCCCCAGCACUCCUACUUCCCGCGGUACUGGGUGCAACUUACAGCUGAAUGUAGUGCCAUGUUGUUAAACGAAAACCUACGCUAGCCUGGCUCGCUCUCGCGCAUCUCUGUUCGCGCUCGUGCAUGAUUGCGCGUCCAGGUACUUGGAAUGGGUGGAGUCAGAGUCAGCGUUGAAGGAGAGGGGGUAGGACCGUUUGAGUUGUGUAUUUUCAAAAUCUGCUGGCGUUUCGCAAAUCACCUACCCAACCUAUUAAAGGUUGGA